CCUACGGGAGGCAGCAGUGGGGAAUAUUGGACAAUGGGCGAAAGCCUGAUCCAGCAAUGCCGCGUGAGUGAUGAAGGCCUUAGGGUCGUAAAGCUCUUUUACCAGGGAUGAUAAUGACAGUACCUGGAGAAUAAGCUCCGGCUAACUCCGUGCCAGCAGCCGCGGUAAUACGGAGGGAGCUAGCGUUGUUCGGAAUUACUGGGCGUAAAGCGUGCGUAGGCGGUUAUUCAAGUCAGAGGUGAAAGCCCGGGGCUCAACCCCGGAACGGCCUUUGAAACUAGAUAACUAGAAUCUUGGAGGGGUCAGUGGAAUUCCGAGUGUAGAGGUGAAAUUCGUAGAUAUUCGGAAGAACACCAGUGGCGAAGGCGACUGACUGGACAAGUAUUGACGCUGAGGUACGAAAGCGUGGGGAGCAAACAGGAUUAGAUACCCUGGUAGUCCACGCCGUAAACGAUGAUAACUAGCUGUCCGGACACUUGGUGUUUGGGUGGCGCAGCUAACGCAUUAAGUUAUCCGCCUGGGGAGUACGGUCGCAAGAUUAAAACUCAAAGGAAUUGACGG
rnacentral:rRNA from 1 species